ACACUCCUGCGGGAGGCAGCAGUGGGGAAUAUUGCACAAUGGGCGCAAGCCUGAUGCAGCCAUGCCGCGUGUAUGAAGAAGGCCUUCGGGUUGUAAAGUACUUUCAGCGGGGAGGAAGGCAAUACGGUUAAUAACCGUGUUGAUUGACGUUACCCGCAGAAGAAGCACCGGCUAACUCCGUGCCAGCAGCCGCGGUAAUACGGAGGGUGCAAGCGUUAAUCGGAAUUACUGGGCGUAAAGCGCACGCAGGCGGUCUGUCAAGUCGGAUGUGAAAUCCCCGGGCUCAACCUGGGAACUGCAUGCGAAACUGGCAGGCUUGAGUCUUGUAGAGGGGGGUAGAAUUCCAGGUGUAGCGGUGAAAUGCGUAGAGAUCUGGAGGAAUACCGGUGGCGAAGGCGGCCCCCUGGACAAAGACUGACGCUCAGGUGCGAAAGCGUGGGGAGCAAACAGGAUUAGAUACCCCUGUAGUCCCAUGAU
rnacentral:rRNA from 1 species